rnacentral:rRNA from 1 species
GACAGAGGUCCCGAGCGUUAGGCGGAAUCACUGGGCUUAAAGCGUGUGUAGGCGGAUUUGUAAGUACCUUGUGAAAUCCCACGGCUUAACCGUGGAACUGCUUGGUAUACUGCUUAUCUUGGGCCACUUAGGGGUUACCGGAACAAACGGUGGAGCGGUGAAAUGCGUAGAUAUCGUUUGGAACGCCAAUGGUGAAAACAGGUAACUGGGAGUGUGCCGACGCUGAGAUACGAAAGCCAGGGGAGCGAACGGG